ACGUAGGGGGCCAGCGUUGUCCGGAAUUACUGGGCGUAAAGAGCGCGUAGGCUGUUUGGUAAGCGGAGGGUGAAAUUCCGGGGCUCAACCCCGGAGCUGCUCUCCGAACUGCCAGACUAGAGUUUGGGAGAGGGUAGUGGAAUUCCUGGUGUAGCGGUGGAAUGCGUAAAUAUCAGGAAGAACACCUGUGGCGAAGGCUGCUACCUGGAACAAUACUGACGCUGAGGCGCGAAAGCUAGGGGAGCGAACGG
rnacentral:rRNA from 1 species